rnacentral:tRNA from 2 species
UCCGAAUUGGUCCAAUGGUUAGGAUACCCCGCUUUCACCGGGGCGGUCGGGGUUCGAUUCCCCGAUUCGGAG